rnacentral:lncRNA from 1 species
AUGGGAACCCCCACACCCAGGGAGGGGACGCCCACACCAGCGGAGGGAACAUCCACACCAGCGGAGGGAACACCCACACCCAGGGAGGAGACACCCACACCCGCGGAGGGGACGCCCACACCCGCGGAGGGGACACCCACACCCGCAGAGGGGACACCCACACCCACAGAGGGAACCCCCACACCAGCGGAGGGAACACCCACACCCGCAGAGGGGACACCCACACCCACAGAGGGAACCCCCACACCCAGGGAGGGGACACCCACACCCACAGAGGGAACCCCCACACCCAGGGAGGGGACGCCCACACCCGCAGAGGGAACACCCACACCCAGGGAGGGGACACCCACACCCGCAGAGGGGACACCCACACCCACAGAGGGAACACCCACACCCAGGGAGGGGACACCCACACCCACAGAGGGAACCCCCACACCCAGGGAGGGGACGCCCACACCCGCAGAGGGAACGCCCACACCAGUGGAGGGAACACCCACACCCAGGGAGGGGACACCCACACCCAGGGAGGGAACGCCCACACCCUCAGAGGGUUUCACACAGGAGGGCAAGGGGCGUGUGUGGGGAUUUUUGCAUUACUAUUCAGAGAGUUGGGGGAAGAGAUCCCCCAUCUGCUGGUUCACUCCCCAUACAACAGUGGGGGCGGGGCGCUCCACCCAGGUCUCCCACGUGGAGACAGGGACCAAGCUCCUCAGCCAUCCCCUGCUGCCUCCGGGGCCUGCAGCCAAGCUGGGAUCCCAGUGCUCCAACACGGGACACCAACCCCCACCCCAUCUAAGUUCCAAGAUGUCAACCUAUGGGGCCUGCUGCUGCAGCACAGCAGGUAAAGCCGCCUUCCACUGGCACCCCACGUGGGCGCCUGCUGAGUCCCGGCUGCUCCGCUCCCAACCCAGCUCCCUGCUGCGGCCUGGGAAAGCAGCGGGUGGCCCAAGUGCUUGGGCCCCUGCACCCUGCUCAGGGCUCCUGGCUUCGGCCUGGCCCAGCUUCAGCCAUUGUGGCCAUCUGGGAAGUGAACCAGCAGAUUGA